UACGGGGGGAGCAAGCGUUGUUCGGAUUUACUGGGCGUAAAGGGCGCGUAGGCGGUCAGCACAAGUCAGUUGUGAAAUCUCCGGGCUUAACUCGGAAAGGUCAACUGAUACUGUGCGACUAGAGUGCGGAAGGGGCAACUGGAAUUCUCGGUGUAGCGGUGAAAUGCGUAGAUAUCGAGAGGAACACCUGCGGCGAAGGCGGGUCACUGGGCUGAUACUGACGCUGAAGUGCGAAAGCCAGGGGAGCGAACGGG
rnacentral:rRNA from 1 species